AUAAGAAUAGAAAUAAGGGAUGUGAUUGUGGACUAGAGAUGCAGUUUUAUUUGGUUCAUUAAUUCUAUAAGGCCAUAAAACAGGUAAUAUAAAAAGCUUCCAUGAUUCUAUUUGUAUGUACAUUAGAAGGAACUUCUAGGUGUUACUGUAAUUCCUUAACAUAUUGUUUCAAUAGCACUAAUUUAAUGCCGAUAUACUCUAGAUGAAGUUUUACAUUGUUUAGCUAUCACUGAUCUCCUGGAAACAACUCACUUUCCUCUUGAGGCUUUGGAUUUGACAUUGCAUUUGACCUUUUAUGUAGCAAUUGACAAGUGCCAGGGUAAUGAUGAAUUAGAAUCUACCCCCAGGUCCAAGCAUUCUGAGUAAUUCUUGAUUGUCCAUAUCGAGUCAAAUGGUAGGCAUUUCCUAUCACCUAUUUCCAUUCAACAAGAGCACUACAUUCAUUUAGCUAAACUGAUUCCAAAGAGUAGAAGUGCACUGAUCACAACUAAUUUCAAAAUGCUUAUUAUUAUUAUUAUUUUUCUAAGACAGAGUCUUGCUUUGUUGCCUAGGCUGGAGUGCUGUGGUAUGAUCUCAGCUCAAUGCAACCUCUGCCUCCUCCCAGGCUUAAGCGAUCCCCCUGCCUCGGCCUUCCAAGUAGCUGAGAUUAUAAUGCCUGCCACCAUGCCGGGCUAAUUUUUGUAUUUUUAAUAGAGAUGGGGUUUUACCAUGUUGCCCAGGCUGGUCUUGAACUCCUGACCUCAGGUGACAUGCCUGCCUCAGGCUCUCAAAGUGUUGGGAUUACAGGCAUGAGCCAUCGUGCCCAGCUGUCAAAAUGCUUUUUAUUUCUGCAUAUGUUGAAUACUUUUUGCAAUUACAAAGUUUUGAAGGUAAAAUUACAAAUCUUGAAAUUAAAAAGGCAAAAAUGUAAAGGAGCCAAAAUUGUAAAUCAAGUAUUUGAAAAAUGAAGAUUGGAAACUAUUUUGUAUUAUAUUCACAAAUGCUUUUAUACUUUUCCUGUGUAUACUUAAAAAACCAACAACUAGAUCAGGAUAGCCACAUGAGGAACACUUUUUAUUAUCACUCAAUAUUUUUAGACAGAGCCUGAUCCUAAGCUUAAAAGUGGGCUUGAUUCUGCAGUAAAUCUUUUAAAACUGCCUUGACACACAGAAACCUUUUUGAAAAUAGACACUCCCAGAAGUCUUUCGUUUGUAUGGUCACACACUGAUGCUUAGAUGUCCCAAGUAGUCUUGAUGACCAAAGUCAUUUUUUUUCCAUCUUUAGAAAACUACAUGGGAACAAACAGAUCAAGCAGAUCUGAAGCUACCGUGUGUGUGAAUGAACACUCAUGCUUCAUUCCAGAAUGGUGUACAUCUAUUUUGGACUGUAUAUUGUGUUUGUGUAUUUAUGCUUUGAUUCAUAGUAACUUCUUAUGUAAUUGAAUUCACUUGCAUUGAACACAAACUGUAAAUAAAAAAUGGCUGAAA